rnacentral:antisense_RNA from 1 species
UGCUGAUCCACAGAUCCUGCACUGGGAAGCUAUUGGAGAGUUUUGAACAGCUGAUGUUAUUUUCCAAAACAAUGACUCUGCUGGCUACAUAGACACAGGCUUGCAGGGAGGGAGGCAGGGGCAGAAAUCCCAUUGGCAAACAAAGUGGCAUCCGAAAUGUCACACACACACACACACACACACACACACCCCAAAUCCUGUUUCCUCCACAUACCUUAAAAUGGAAGCAGUGCCAUUGGAAGAAGCACUGCUCUCAGGCUCAGGAGAAGACCCAGUCUUUCAAAGACUCCUUUGGGAAUGUCCAGACUUCCCACUUCAGACAGUGGCCCUUCUGCCAUCCACAGCUGGACGUCCUUGAGUCCCCAUUACUCCUCACUCCAUACAGCCAGCGCACCGGCUCUGCCAUGUGUCCUAGUCAACCCACCUCUCUCCACCCCUUCUCAGCCCUGGCCCCCCUUCCCUCUCACCACAGCUCCAGCAUCCAUCUCCUUAGGAGGCUUCCUGCUUCCACUCCUGCCCCUGCAAUCCUGUGUCCACAGAGCCACGGAGUCACCAAGAUGUGAAGAGGCAAAGUCACUGGCUCCACACCCACAGCUGGCCAGCAGGGGACAGUCGACCCCCGACACAAAGCGGCUUUUCUCACAGCUACUCGAACGCGAAUCGCAGGGUGGCACUCAGGGGUAUUCCCCAGGAAUAAAACAUAACUAUCUUAAAGUUUAUGAAGUAAUUGGCACCUUAAGAUGGAAUAUUUUUGGU